rnacentral:rRNA from 1 species
GAUCCUGGCUCAGGAUGAACGCUGGCGGCGCGCCUAACACACGCAAGUCGAACGGCACCCCUCUCCGGAGGGAAGCGAGUGACGAACGGCUGAGUAACACGUGGAGAACCUGCCCCCUCCCCCGGGAUAGCCGCCCGAAAGGACGGGUAAUACCGGAUACCCCGGGGUGCCGCAUGGCACCCCGGCUAAAGCCCCGACGGGAGGGGAUGGCUCCGCGGCCCAUCAGGUAGACGGCGGGGUGACGGCCCACCGUGCCGACAACGGGUAGCCGGGUUGAGAGACCG